rnacentral:misc_RNA from 1 species
GAUGAAGAACGUAGCGAAAUGCGAUAAGUAAUGUGAAUUGCAGAAUUCAGUGAAUCAUCGAAUCUUUGAACGCACAUUGCGCCCGCCAGUAUUCUGGCGGGCAUGCCUGUCCGAGCGUCAUUUCAACCCUCGCGCCCAUCUGGGCUGCGGUGUUGGGGACCGGCCUGCCCCCCGGGGCGCGCCGCCCCCCAAAUUCAGUGGCGGUCUCGCUGCAGCCUCCCUUGCGUAGUAGCACACCUCGCACCGGAGCGCAGCGCGGCCACGCCGUAAAACCCCCGACCCCCAUGAGUUUGACCUCGGAUCAGGUAGGAAUACCCGCUGAACUUAAGCAUAUCAAUAGCGGAGGA